AAUGUUGUAUCAGUUACACCUUUGCAGUUUGUCAAUGGCAUAACUUAUAGGAUGUAUAUAAAUAUUCGGAUUGACUUCUUUUGUUAUUUAACCUUCAUAUAUGUUUUCUAUGUGUUACUUAUGCAAGAUGGAUCAGUCUUAUUAAUAGCUCUUGGCAUUGAGUUCCUGUUGUUAUAAAUGGAAAUUGUUUCCGCUAUUUUUCCUUCCUUUGGGUGUUCUUGCUUACGUAUCAACUUCGCUUCUCCCCAUUUCACAUUCAAGUCAGAGAUUAGAGCCCUUUGUGCCAGUGCUGUUGUGGAUGUCGCUUUUUCAAUGUCUUUUUUUAUGUUCUUUGAGUCUUUUAUUCAAAGACCUGGAUGUUUAACCUAUGUAUUUCACAUUGUUUCAAAUCAUUAUCAAAUGCUGGAAUUUCUUAUACUCCCAGGAGUGCAGCUGGAUCAUAUUUAUCUUUGUUGUUUCUUAGUAUGUUAUAUAGCGUGUUUCUUCUAUUAAACACAAUUCUCGACCCUGUUGCCUUUUCUAAUUUCUUUUUAUAUUUCAUAGUGAUAAGAUUGAUUUCUAAUUUAUGUCUGUAUUUUUUAUUGUUGGCAUCUUUUUUGGUUUGAGUCUAUCACACUUCCUGGAUAUCUAUUUCAAUAUUCACAUAAAUAA
rnacentral:lncRNA from 1 species